rfam:Oryza rufipogon genomic scaffold, chr05
GUCCCAUGAUGAGGACGGGUGGUGACGUACUCCUGCAGCCUUUCCCAAGCUUCAGGAAUGGUUUCAUCCCUCGUCUGCUGAAAGAUGGAUAUUCUCCCACGAAGAGC